rnacentral:rRNA from 1 species
AACGAACGCUGGCGGCAUGCCUAACACAUGCAAGUCGAACGAGACCUUCGGGUCUAGUGGCGCACGGGUGCGUAACGCGUGGGAACCUGCCCUUAGGUUCGGAAUAACUCCCCGAAAGGGGUGCUAAUACCGGAUAAUGUCUUCGGCCCAAAGAUUUAUCGCCUUUGGAUGGGCCCGCGUUGGAUUAGCUAGUUGGUAGGGUAAAAGCCUACCAAGGCGACGAUCCAUAGCUGGUCUGAGAGGAUGAUCAGCCACACUGGGACUGAGACACGGCCCAGACUCCUACGGGAGGCAGCAGUGGGGAAUAUUGGACAAUGGGCGAAAGCCUGAUCCAGCAAUGCCGCGUGAGUGAUGAAGACAUUAGGGUUGUAAAGCUCUUUUACCCGGGAUGAUAAUGACAGUACCGGGAGAAUAAGCUCCGGCUAACUCCGUG